rnacentral:rRNA from 1 species
CAGUCGCCACGGUAAUACGAAGGGGGCUAGCGUUGUUCGGAUUUACUGGGCGUAAAGCGCACGUAGGCGGACUUUUAAGUCAGGGGUGAAAUCCCGGGGCUCAACCCCGGAACUGCCUUUGAUACUGGGAGUCUUGAGUUCGAGAGAGGUGAGUGGAAUUGCGAGUGUAGAGGUGAAAUUCGUAGAUAUUCGCAGGAACACCAGUGGCGAAGGCGGCUCACUGGCUCGAUACUUACGCUGAGGUGCGAAAGCGUGGGAAGCAAACAGGAUUAGAUACCCCAGUAGUCCCUGUCUCUUAUAC